rnacentral:lncRNA from 1 species
AGAGAGAGAGAGAGAGAGAGAGACAUGUUGCACUUCAAUCCCCAACCAGGCAACCUCAAAAUCAGUAGAUUCAAGCACAUGAAGGGAAACGUACAUAAAUCAUUUUGUAGAACUAAUAUACUAACCAGAUUGACACUCCCUCUUUGCUUAAAUAGGCAUAACCGAACUUUAAUAAAUGACAUGGCUGGUGUUUAGAUUGCAAGCUCAACCAGGAAGGAG